GCUGCGGCGCGGUGACGACAUUGGUCCGCGCCCGCAGCCGAACGUUUUCGGCGCCGGGUGGCGGGCGCCUGCGCAGUGGCUCCGAGCGGGCGGUUGCUUGCUGGUUGUUGUAGUAACGGGGGAAGCAGCCUUCCGCGGCCGUGAGCCCGGCUGGGGAAGGAGCAGGGAGGUCGGCGCCGAGCGCGGUCCCCGCCUGCCCGCCCCGAGCCCUGGGAAGAUGAGCCAGGCAGCCUAGGACGGUCGGCACCCCUUCCUCGCUUGGAGGUUUUGUUUGUUUUGCUUUAGCUUAAAGGACAUCCCAACAUUUUGGGAAAGAUCGAGAAAUCCCGCUGGGAAUCUUUGGAAGGACGCCUUUGAGGUUGUUAGAUCUUCAGCCCUUUCCGCUGACGAUCUGUGGAACAUUAUUGGGAUCUGCGUUUUUUGGAGUCUGUGCCAUCCAAAUUGUUUGAUCCAGUGAAUCUGCAAGGAAAGGUCUCUGAGGCCCCCGUCUGCUGACUGCAUGAGAAACCCUAAAGGAAAUGCCAGUCGUGAUGGCCCGGGACCUGGAGGAAACAGCAUCAUCCUCAGAGGAUGAGGAGGCGGUCAGCCAAGAGUAAGUAACAGCAAGCCUGC